UGGGUAACACUAACUGGAGGACCGAACCGACUAAUGUUGAAAAAUUAGCGGAUGACCUGUGGCUGGGGGUGAAAGGCCAAUCAAACCGGGAGAUAGCUGGUUCUCCCCGAAAGCUAUUUAGGUAGCGCCUCGUGAAUUCAUCUCCGGGGGUAGAGCACUGUUUCGGCUAGGGGGCCAUCCCGGCUUACCAACCCGAUGCAAACUGCGAAUACCGGAGAAUGUUAUCACGGGAGACACACGGCGGGUGCUAACGUCCGUCGUGAAGAGGGAAACAACCCAGACCGCCAGCUAAGGUCCCAAAGUCAUGGUUAAGUGGGAAACGAUGUGGGAAGGCCCAGACAGCCAGGAUGUUGGCUUAGAAGCAGCCAUCAUUUAAAGAAAGCGUAAUAGCUCACUGGUCGAGUCGGCCUGCGCGGAAGAUGUAACGGGGCUAAACCAUGCACCGAAGCUGCGGCAGCGACACUGUGUGUUGUUGGGUAGGGGAGCGUUCUGUAAGCCUGUGAAGGUGUGUCGUGAGGCAUGCUGGAGGUAUCAGAAGUGCGAAUGCUGACAUAAGUAACGAUAAAGCGGGUGAAAAGCCCGCUCGCCGGAAGACCAAGGGUUCCUGUCCAACGUUAAUCGGGGCAGGGUGAGUCGACCCCUAAGGCGAGGCCGAAAGGCGUAGUCGAUGGGAAACGGGUUAAUAUUCCCGUACUUGGUGUUACUGCGAAGGGGGGACGGAGAAGGCUAUGUUGGCCGGGCGACGGUUGUCCCGGUUUAAGCGUGUAGGUGUGUGUUCCAGGUAAAUCCGGUUCACUUUAACACUGAGGCGUGACGACGAGGCACUACGGUGCUGAAGCAACAAAUGCCCUGCUUCCAGGAAAAGCCUCUAAGCAUCAGGUAACAUCAAAUCGUACCCCAAACCGACACAGGUGGUCAGGUAGAGAAUACCAAGGCGCUUGAGAGAACUCGGGUGAAGGAACUAGGCAAAAUGGUGCCGUAACUUCGGGAGAAGGCACGCUGACACGUAGGUGAAGUGAUUUACUCAUGGAGCUGAAGUCAGUCGAAGAUACCAGCUGGCUGCAACUGUUUAUUAAAAACACAGCACUGUGCAAACACGAAAGUGGACGUAUACGGUGUGACGCCUGCCCGGUGCCGGAAGGUUAAUUGAUGGGGUCAGCGCAAGCGAAGCUCCUGAUCGAAGCCCCGGUAAACGGCGGCCGUAACUAUAACGGUCCUAAGGUAGCGAAAUUCCUUGUCGGGUAAGUUCCGACCUGCACGAAUGGCGUAAUGAUGGCCAGGCUGUCUCCACCCGAGACUCAGUGAAAUUGAACUCGCUGUGAAGAUGCAGUGUACCCGCGGCAAGACGGAAAGACCCCGUGAACCUUUACUAUAGCUUGACACUGAACAUUGAGCCUUGAUGUGUAGGAUAGGUGGGAGGCUUUGAAGUGUGGACGCCAGUCUGCAUGGAGCCGACCUUGAAAUACCACCCUUUAAUGUUUGAUGUUCUAACGUGGACCCGUUACCCGGGUUGCGGACAGUGUCUGGUGGGUAGUUUGACUGGGGCGGUCUCCUCCUAAAGAGUAACGGAGGAGCACGAAGGUUGGCUAAUCCUGGUCGGACAUCAGGAGGUUAGUGCAAUGGCAUAAGCCAGCUUGACUGCGAGCGUGACGGCGCGAGCAGGUGCGAAAGCAGGUCAUAGUGAUCCGGUGGUUCUGAAUGGAAGGGCCAUCGCUCAACGGAUAAAAGGUACUCCGGGGAUAACAGGCUGAUACCGCCCAAGAGUUCAUAUCGACGGCGGUGUUUGGCACCUCGAUGUCGGCUCAUCACAUCCUGGGGCUGAAGUAGGUCCCAAGGGUAUGGCUGUUCGCCAUUUAAAGUGGUACGCGAGCUGGGUUUAGAACGUCGUGAGACAGUUCGGUCCCUAUCUGCCGUGGGCGCUGGAGAACUGAGGGGGGCUGCUCCUAGUACGAGAGGACCGGAGUGGACGCAUCACUGGUGUUCGGGUUGUCAUGCCAAUGGCACUGCCCGGUAGCUAAAUGCGGAAGAGAUAAGUGCUGAAAGCAUCUAAGCACGAAACUUGCCCCGAGAUGAGUUCUCCCUGAGACUUA
rnacentral:rRNA from 1 species